rnacentral:rRNA from 1 species
CCUACGGGAGGCAGCAGUGGGGAAUAUUGGGCAAUGGGCGCAAGUCUGACCCAGCAACGCCGCGUGAAGGAUGAAGGUCUUCUGGUUUUUAAAUUCUUUGUUUGUGGAUGAACACUGUGGCGGUACCCCAAUCUCACGCCACGGCUAACUACGUGCAACCAGCCGCUGCAAUACAUAGGUGGCAAUCAUUCUCCGGAUUCAUUGGGGGUAAGGGGUGCGUAGGUGGUUUAGUAAGUUAGCGGUGUAAUUCCGGGGCUCAACCGUGGAGUUACCGCAAAUACUAUUAGACUGGAGUGCAGGGGGGGUAGGUGGAAUGCCUGGUGUAGCGGUGGAAUGCGUAGAUAUCACGAGGAACACCAGGUGCGAAGGCGACUUACUGAACUGUAACUGACACUGAGGCACGAAAGCGUGGGGAGCAAACAGGAUUAGAUACCCCAGUAGUC